rnacentral:rRNA from 1 species
AUUGAACGCUGGCGGCAGGCCUAACACAUGCAAGUCGAGCGGAGCGGCGGACGGGUGAGUAAUGCCUAGGAAUCUGCCUGGUCGUGGGGGAUAACGUCCGGAAACGGGAGCUAAUACCGCAUCCUAUCAGAUGAGCCUAGGUCGGAUGAGCUUGUUGGUGGGGUAAAGGCCUACAAAGGGGACGAUCCGUAACUGGUCUGAGAGGAUGAUCAGUCACACUGGAACUGAGACACGGUCCAGACGCCUACGGGAGGAAGCAGUGGGGAAUAUUGGAAAAUGGGCGAAAGCCUGAUCCAGCCAUGCAGCGUGUGUGAAGAAGGUCUUCGGAUUGUAAAGCACUUUAAGUUGGGAGGCGUUACCAACAGAAUAAGCACCGGCUAACUUCGUGCCAGCAGCCGCGGUAAUAC